CAGCCGCCGCGGUAACACGUAGGUGGCAAGCGUUGUCCGGAAUUAUUGGGCGUAAAGGGCUCGCAGGCGGUUUCUUAAGUCUGAUGUGAAAGCCCCCGGCUCAACCGGGGAGGGUCAUUGGAAACUGGGAAACUUGAGUGCAGAAGAGGAGAGUGGAAUUCCACGUGUAGCGGUGAAAUGCGUAGAGAUGUGGAGGAGCACCAGUGGCGAAGGCGACUCUCUGGUCUGUAACUGACGCUGAGGAGCGAAAGCGUGGGGAGCGAACAGGAUUAGAUACCCCGGUAGUCCCUGUCUCUUAUAC
rnacentral:rRNA from 1 species